CAUUACAAGAACGCCCGGGCUUCGGCCUGGUUAUUCAUAACCCUUUGUUGUCCGACUCUGUUGCCUCCGGGGCGACCCUGCCUUCGGGCGGGGGCUCCGGGUGGACACUUCAAACUCUUGCGUAACUUUGCAGUCUGAGUAAACUUAAUUAAUAAAUUAAAACUUUUAACAACGGAUCUCUUGGUUCUGGCAUCGAUGAAGAACGCAGCGAAAUGCGAUAAGUAAUGUGAAUUGCAGAAUUCAGUGAAUCAUCGAAUCUUUGAACGCACAUUGCGCCCCCUGGUAUUCCGGGGGGCAUGCCUGUUCGAGCGUCAUUUCACCACUCAAGCCUCGCUUGGUAUUGGGCAACGCGGUCCGCCGCGUGCCUCAAAUCGUCCGGCUGGGUCUUCUGUCCCCUAAGCGUUGUGGAAACUAUUCGCUAAAGGGUGUUCGGGAGGCUACGCCGUAAAACAACCCCAUUUCUAAGGUUGACCUCGGAUCAGGUAGGGAUACCCGCUGAACUUAAGCAUAUCAAUAAGCGGAGGAAAAGAAACCAACAGGGAUUGCUCUAGUAACGGCGAGUGAAGCAGCAAUAGCUCAAAUUUGAAAUCUGGCGUCUUCGACGUCCGAGUUGUAAUUUGUAGAGGAUGCUUCUGAGUGGCCACCGACCUAAGUUCCUUGGAACAGGACGUCAUAGAGGGUGAGAAUCCCGUAUGCGGUCGGAAAGGCGCUCUAUACGUAGCUCCCUUCGACGAGUCGAGUUGUUUGGGAAUGCAGCUC
rnacentral:rRNA from 1 species